rnacentral:rRNA from 1 species
AUGAACGCUGGCGGCGUGCCUAAUACAUGCAAGUCGAGCGAACAGACGAGGAGCUUGCUCCUCUGACGUUAGCGGCGGACGGGUGAGUAACACGUGGAUAACCUACCUAUAAGACUGGGAUAACUUCGGGAAACCGGAGCUAAUACCGGAUAAUAUAUUGAACCGCAUGGUUCAAUAGUGAAAGACGGUUUUGCUGUCACUUAUAGAUGGAUCCGCGCCGCAUUAGCUAGUUGGUAAGGUAACGGCUUACCAAGGCGACGAUGCGUAGCCGACCUGAGAGGGUGAUCGGCCACACUGGAACUGAGACACGGUCCAGACUCCUACUGGAGGCAGCAGUAGGGAAUCUUCCGCAAUGGGCGAAAGCCUGACGGAGCAACGCCGCGUGAGUGAUGAAGGUCUUCGGAUCGUAAAACUCUGUUAUUAGGGAAGAACAAAUGUGUAAGUAACUAUGCACGUCUUGACGGUACCUAAUCAGAAAGCCACGGCUAACUACGUG